AGUGGGAUAGCUGGGUCAAAUGGUGAUUCCAUUCCAAGUUUUCUGAGGGAUUCCCAGACUGCUUUCCCGAGUGGGUUGCACCAAUUUGCAGUCCCUCCAGCAAU
rnacentral:pre_miRNA from 1 species